CUUGAUACACUAAUCUCGAUAUACAAGUGGUAAACUCACCCUUGAAAAUUUUCCUCAUUUCGGCUAUUCACACCAGUCAGUUGUUUCACCAACCCAACAUAGAACUCAAACCAUAUACUGAGAAUUGCAGACUUUAUCUAUGUAUUCACACCGGUCAAUUUCACCAAACCUAGACAGAACCCAAACCAUACACAAAACCAAAAAUCUAUAAUUAAAUUACAUUUGCAAACAAAUGUGGAUAAAGAAUGGACAAAAAAUAUAUGCACAGCAGUCACAACCAAACCAAUUCCAGGCCCAGAGAGGACAACGAAUAACAUUCGUCAAUCUGUGUCAGGUACCAAUGCAUUUGGCUUUGAGACAUAGCUUGGUAAAUUGGCAGCACUGCUUUUAGAAUUGCUGGAUUUGGGGGAUGAUGACUCACAUGAGCUGAGGAUUGGAGAUUCAGGCCUUGAGGGGACAGGAGAUAGUUCUUCACGGUCUAAAUAUGCUUCAACUACCGGAAACAUAUCUUCCGAGUAAGUGUGAUUGCUAUCUUCUCCUGGUAUACUGUCUUCCAUGUCAUCAUCCAAGGGGGCAACAUCGUGGGUGGUGAAUUGAUGAAAAUCUACUAUCUCACGCAAGAAACGAUUUUCGCGUGCGUACAUGGAAUUUUCCUGCGCCAGUCUUGAUUUCUCGGCCAAUAAGGUCUCCAGUUGCACACGAAUCUGUCAUCAUCCUCUUCAGUUUUGCUCCCUUUCUGCUUUGCUUCUCGCAAGAACUUGUUCUCCUCUUCUAGCUGAGCACAUCGCUGCUUCGCAAAAGCUAGAUCAGCUUUUACUGUUUUUAGUUCACGGAGCACAAGUUUUGCUUUAGCAGCCAUUGCAUUAGCAACCUUACAUCGCGAGAAGCUUUUAAUUGGGUUUCCUGGGCUGCAGUUUCAGCUUGAUCAUGUGAAAGAUUAGGAGGUCUUAAUGUAUCAAAUGCUGGGUUCGGCAUAUAAGAAUUCGAAUUGGCUUGCUUCCUUCUAAUUUGUAUCUUCUUUGUCUCCUCAAUGAUAUUGGAUGUCUUAUUGUCCACAAUUGUGAGACAUUACUUCCAACGCAUCUCUGAUUCUUCCACCAAGUUGGUUGACAGAAGCAGCAAGAGCUUCCGACCUUGUCCGGGAUCCAGUAUCUCCUGUCCUGCUGUGGUUUUCAAAUGACCAGCGAGAUCGAGUCACCUGAGCUCCAGUGGAUGAAUCAAACUUGCGAGGGGUCUUUUGUUUUGUGUACUCGUCAGACUUAUGUGCUGUGCCAUCCUCAUCAAGAAUUCCCUUGGCUUUUCUUGCCAAAGUUUCCCAUAGCCCAAGCUUGGGCUCGUUCAUACUUUUGAUUGAUGUGUAACUGGGCGCAUGCCUGCGGCGGCUGGGGGUAGGAGCUCCGGCGAUCAUCGGCGGCGAUGGGGCCCUGCUUCCGGCGGUAGGCCAUGGUGGCGGCGCGGCGGCGGGUCGUGGCCCGGACCCGGAG
rnacentral:sRNA from 1 species